rnacentral:rRNA from 1 species
ACCUACUAUUUGCCCGAACCGCAGAAGGUUGAAAACUUCCCGGAUGAGCUGUGGAUAGGAGUGAAAGGCUAAUCAAACCUGGAGAUAGCUGGUUCUCCCCGAAAUAUAUUGAGGUAUAGCCUCGGAUGCUGAGCAACGGAGGUAGAGCACUGGAUGGGCUAGGGGCCCCACCAGGUUACCAACCCCAACUAAACUCCGAAUGCCGUUGUGUGUAGUCCGGGAGUCAGUCCAUGGGUGAUAAGAUCCAUGGUCGAGAGGGAAACAACCCAGAUCGCCAGCUAAGGUCCCCAAAUGCAUGCUAAGUGGAAAAGGUGGUGGGAACGCCUAGACAACCAGGAGGUU